CCCAGGUGUUAAACAUUCCUAGUGGGUGGUGAUUUUAGGAGUUAUAUAAGGCUUGGUCUCAUUAGCUUGUCUAAUAUAGCUUGGUGCUACUUCUAAGUGUGCAGUUGGAGAUAUUCUGGAGAGUGCUGUUUCUAAGUGUGUAGUUGGAGAUAUUCUGGAGAGUGCUGUUUCUAAGUGUGUAGUUGAAAACUGGAGGUAAUCUGAGGUAUUCAGGAGGA